GUACUGAGACACGGACCAGACUCCUACGGGAGGCAGCAGUGAGGAAUAUUGGACAAUGGGCGCAAGCCUGAUCCAGCCAUGCCGCGUGCAGGAUGACGGUCCUAUGGAUUGUAAACUGCUUUUGCACAGGAAGAAACACUCCCUCGUGAGGGAGCUUGACGGUACUGUGAGAAUAAGGAUCGGCUAACUCCGUGCCAGCAGCCGCGGUAAU
rnacentral:rRNA from 1 species